AACGCGAAGCUUUGAACUUAAGCCCCAGUAAACGGCGGCCGUAACUAUAACGGUCCUAAGGUAGCGAAAUUCCUUGUCGGGUAAGUUCCGACCCGCACGAAAGGCGUAAUGAUUUGGGCACUGUCUCAACAAUGCACCCGGUGAAAUUGAAAUACCAGUGAAGAUGCUGGUUACCUGCGCCAGGACGGAAAGACCCCAUGGAGCUUUACUCCAGCUUGAUACUGGGAUUCGGUAUUGCAUGUACAGGAUAGGUGGGAGGCUGAGAAAUGGUGACGCCAGUUGCCAUGGAGCCGCUGUUGGGAUACCACCCUUGCAGUACUGGGUUUCUAACCAGCAGCCGUGAACCGGCUGGGGGACAAUGUCAGGCGGGGAGUUUGACUGGGGCGGUCGCCUCCGAAAGGGUAUCGGAGGCGCUCAAAGGUUCCCUCAGAAUGGUCGGAAACCAUUCGGAGAGUGCAAAGGCAGAAGGGAGCUUGACUGCGACACCGACGGGUGGAGCAGGUACGAAAGUAGGACUUAGUGAUCCGGUGGUAUAAAGUGGGAUUGCCAUCGCUCAACGGAUAAAAGCUACCCUGGGGAUAACAGGCUUAUCACUCCCAAGAGUUCACAUCGACGGAGUGGUUUGGCACCUCGAUGUCGGCUCAUCGCAUCCUGGGGCUGGAGUAGGUCCCAAGGGUUGGGCUGUUCGCCCAUUAAAGCGGUACGCGAGCUGGGUUCAGAACGUCGUGAGACAGUUCGGUCCCUAUCCGGCGCGGGCGUAGGAUAUUUGAGAGGAGCUGUCCUUAGUACGAGAGGACCGGGAUGGACUGGCCGCUGGUGUACCUGUUGGGAUACCAAUUCCAUAGCAGGGUAGCCAAGCCGGGAAGGGAUAAACGCUGAAGGCAUCUAAGCGUGAAGCCCCCCUCAAGAUGAGAUAUCCCAUGACGUCAAGUCAGUAAGACCCCUUGAAGACGACGAGGUAGAUAGGGCAGAGGUGGAAGUGCCGUAAGGCAUGGAGCUGACUGUUACUAAUAGGUCGAGGGCAUGACCAG
rnacentral:ncRNA from 1 species